AACCCCUUUGCCCCUCCAGGCGGGUUAAAGAGAACAUCCUGUGCCCCUUGUGAACAAGGGAGUUUCACUUUGACGUGUAUGUAAUGUUUAGAACGUGGGAGGAGUGAGAGUCAUUUGCUGCUUUAGACAAAUAAACAGCGUAUGAUUCAAUAAUAAGCAGUAAUUGUUCCUACUGAGACCCAUCAACAGAACUUCUGUCUGAUCUUCGUUUUCCUGGAUUUCGGGAACAAAACCACUGACUGAAUUAAAGAAAGUUUCUCAGUGUCGACUUAUUCUGAUUUCUCUACGUCACUUCCUGUCCCUCGUUCUCGCCCACAAGCCCUGAGGGACUCCAGCUGGUUCCUCACAUUCAACAUGGUGCCGUCGCAUUUCAUCGUUUCCAUCAUCACCGCCUCCUGGAUUGAAGGAGUGGACCUCAGUACGGUCAAAAAAGUCUCCCAGAAUCCGGCCGAUGUGCUUCUCGGGCCAAAUAGCGAGGCCACCCUGAGCCUCCGCCAUGAGAUCCCGAGCUACGACACCGUCCUCUGGUAUCAGCGCCCGGCGGGAGGCUCGGCCCUGAAGCUGAUCGGCUACGUGUAUUACAGAAGUCCUACGGUGGAGGUAGAUUUCAAAGGCCGCUUCAACGUGAGCGGAAAUGGAGAGAGUACCGCUCAUCUUCACCUGCUCAGCCCGAGACACGCCGAAGACAGCGGCACGUAUUUCGGUGCAGCCAGUAUUACACAGUAAUGAGGGGCGGUGACGCUCUUAUACAAAAACCUGGGUGGUG